rnacentral:rRNA from 1 species
UCGGCAAUGGGCGUAGGCGGUUUAAUAAGUCUAUAGUUUAAUUUCAGUGCUUAACGCUGUUGUGCUAUAGAAACUGUUUUACUAGAGUGAGAUAGAGGCAAGCGGAAUUCCAUGUGUAGCGGUAAAAUGCGUAAAUAUAUGGAGGAACACCAGAGGCGUAGGCGGCUUGCUGGGUCUUUACUGACGCUGAGGCACGAAAGCGUGGGGAGCAAACAGGAUUAGAUACCCUGGUAGUCCACGCCGUAAACGAUGAGUACUAAGUGUCGGGUAAAACUGGUACUGAAGUUAACACAUUAAGUACUCCGCCUGAGUAGUACGUACGCAAGUAUGAAACUUAAAGGAAUUGACGGGACUCCGCACAAGCGGUGGAUCAUGUUGUUUAAUUCGAAGAUACACGAAAAACCUUACCAGGUCUUGACAUUUUCUUGCGAAGUUAUAGAAAUAUAAUGGAGGUUAUCAGGAAAACAGGUGGUGCAUGGUUGUCGUCAGCUCGUGUCGUGAGAUGUUAGGUUAAGUCCUAAAACGAGCGCAACCCUUGUCGUUAAUUGCCAGCAUGUAAUGAUGGGGACUUUAACGAGACUGCCAAUGAAAAAUUGGAGGAAGGUGGGGAUUACGUCAAAUCAUCAUGCCCCUUAUGAUCUGGGCUACAAACGUGAUACAAUGGUUGAUACAAAGAGUAGCUGAAACGCGAGUUCUUAGCCAAUCUCAAAAAAUCAAUCUCAGUUCGGAUUGAAGUCUGCAACUCGACUUCAUGAAGUUGGAAUCGCUAGUAAUCGCGAAUCAGCA